ensembl:lncRNA
GGCACCUCUAUCCAAUGCCUCAGCGCGCGAGGCUGCACUUGUAGUGUGGAAGGAAGUUGGCUCGAGGCUUCGUGGCUUCACUCUUCGCAGCGCCACUUGCACUCCGGCAUUAUGAGCAGAGCUGGCCAGAGCUGCGCGCCUUUCUGAAUUUACGUGUCGAGUGAUUAGAGAUCAUGGAGUUGGGAGCCCGCGUCCUCGUCGCCUUCCUCGCCUCCCAGAACUGAGGGUGACAACGCGGCAAUCACACAAUUGAUGGUCCCUCAAUUUUCUCUGCGGAAUUGGUUAUACUCCGCCUUGGAAUGACACCGGUCCGAAAUGGAAUUAGGGACAGAAGGCUAAACAUGUUGUGUUAGAAUAACCAAGGAGACCACC